GAUGAACGCUGGCGGCGUGCCUAAUACAUGCAAGUCGAGCGAACAGACGAGGAGCUUGCUCCUCUGACGUUAGCGGCGGACGGGUGAGUAACACGUGGAUAACCUACCUAUAAGACUGGGAUAACUUCGGGAAACCGGAGCUAAUACCGGAUAACAUGUUGAACCGCAUGGUUCAACAGUGAAAGACGGUCUUGCUGUCACUUAUAGAUGGAUCCGCGCCGCAUUAGCUAGUUGGUAAGGUAACGGCUUACCAAGGCAACGAUGCGUAGCCGACCUGAGAGGGUGAUCGGCCACACUGGAACUGAGACACGGUCCAGACUCCUACGGGAGGCAGCAGUAGGGAAUCUUCCGCGAUGGGCGAAAGCCUGACGGAGCAACGCCGCGUGAGUGAAGAAGGUCUUCGGAUCGUAAAACUCUGUUAUUAGGGAAGAACAAAUGUGUAAGUAACUAUGCACGUCUUGACGGUACCUAAUCAGAAAGCCACGGCUAACUACGUG
rnacentral:rRNA from 1 species